GAUGAAGAACGCAGCGAAAUGCGAUAAGUAAUGUGAAUUGCAGAAUUCAGUGAAUCAUCGAAUCUUUGAACGCACAUUGCGCCCGCCAGUAUUCUGGCGGGCAUGCCUGUUCGAGCGUCAUUACAACCCUCAGGCCCCCGGGCCUGGCGUUGGGGAUCGGCGGAAGCCCCCUGCGGGCACAACGCCGUCCCCCAAAUACAGUGGCGGUCCCGCCGCAGCUUCCAUUGCGUAGUAGCUAACACCUCGCAGCUGGAGAGCGGCGCGGCCACGCCGUAAAACACCCAACUUCUGAAUGUUGACCUCGAAUCAGGUAGGAAAACCAGCUGAACUUAAGCAUAUCAAUAAGCGGAGGA
rnacentral:misc_RNA from 1 species